rnacentral:rRNA from 1 species
AUUCCAGCUCCAAUAGCGUAUAUUAAAGUUGUUGCAGUUAAAAAGCUCGUAGUUGGAUUUCUGUUCUCGAGGAUCGGUCCGCCUCACGGUGAGCACUGGUUUUUCUUGGGGACAUCCUCUCGAAGGCGGGUGGUGCACUUAAUUGUGUGCUGCUUGGAUUCGGGACCUUUACUUUGAAAAAAUUAGAGUGUUCAAAGCAGGCGUCGGCUUGAAUACAUUAGCAUGGAAUAAUGGAAUAGGACUUUGGUUCUAUUUUGUUGGUUUCUAGGACCGAAGUAAUGAUUAAUAGGGAAAGUUGGGGGUGCUAGUAUUGGCCGGCCAGAGGUGAAAUUCUUGGAUUCGGUCAAGGCUAACUUAUGCGAAAGCAUUCACCAAGGAUGUCUUCAUUA